rnacentral:rRNA from 1 species
UACGUAGGGGGCUAGCGUUGUCCGGAAUCAUUGGGCGUAAAGAGCGUGUAGGCGGUCCGGUAAGUCCGCUGUGAAAGUCCAGGGCUCAACCCUGGGAUGCCGGUGGAUACUGUCGAGCUCGAGUCCGGAAGAGGCGAGUGGAAUUCCUGGUGUAGCGGUGAAAUGCGCAGAGUAUCAGGAGGAACACCAAUGCGAAGGCAGCUCGCUGGGACGUGACUGACGCUGAGACGCGAAAGCGUGGGGAGCAAACAGG